AAGGAAAAUUUGAUGUUAUUUCAGAGAGCAUUCUUACAAGAUAAAAGCUUAUUGUGCUAUCUUGAAAUGUCUCUAAACAAAAACAAAAAGAAAAAACCAAAAACAAAAAAGCACCAAAGACUAACAGAUGUAAGAUAUAUGGAAGAUAGAGCAUGGAAAUUCCUCAGCUCUGGGACACUGGCAAACACUGCACAAAUGGGAGUUUCUGCUCGACACCUGUCAUAAGCCUGUGGCACAUUGAGACUGGCAGCAAUUAACAUACUGCAGCCUUUGCAAUAUUUCCUAAAAAAUAAAGUGGUAUUAUUUUAGGAGAUAUUUUCAAGAGAAUGAUCCUUCUCUGGAGUAAAUCAACCAUUCUUAAGAAUAGUCAUCAAUGAUGCAAAUCAAAUCAGCUGCUUCAUCAAUCUCCAAUCAAAAGGAUUAAAAAACUUCUUAUACUCUAAGGAGGAUUACUCAGGAUAGGGUCUACUGAAAAGGCACUUUCAACUUUCAACAAAGGCUGGGCCAAGUAUCAACUGAAUCUUUUUGAAACUGGAAAAAGUACAGACCACAGUCUUUGCCUGCCCCAUUAUUUUUCAUUUUCACAUGUCUUUGUCCUCCUGAUCUGGCUGGAACAGUAAGUGCUCACAGUAGUCAGGUAGAACAGCUGCCCUGUUAGCCUCUAACAAAAUAAGACCAGACAGAUAAUCAAAUAGUAUUCUCCUGAGAGCAUCCUAUAAGCUGUGAAAUUAUCCCUAUUCUUAACCAUUUGAAGGGAAUAUUUGUCCUAGCUGGAGACAAGAGAAAUCAGCAAAAAGAAAAGAUUUCUUUGCUAUGGGAUUUUGAAGUAUGGGUGAGCAUACCCCAAACAUACACUGGCACACUGUUUUGCCAUGAUUCAUGCCAGGGUCCUAGUCCUUUAAUAAUUUACUGUGGCUUUGGCUAGACUGGCAAAUACUGGAGCGAAAUAGAAGCAGAUCUUCAGAGACAAUCCAUCCACUGUACCCAGAACCCAGCAACCACAGUAAGUGUGGUUUGGAGGAGAUUUACUUUAGACCAGCGCCAAUCUAGUUCCAUGGACAGAAGACCCAUUAGCGCUGGAGCACAGUACAUUCCAGCAGUCCUGGUCAGCACAUUCAGAAAGAUGCUGCAAUCACCUUCAUGUACCUCGUGGCCCACUUUUCAUUCAAAUGCUCCUCAUUUGCAUUGCAGUACCAAGGUAAACCACAUACUCCUUGUACAUUUGUGUCACUGGGGUCCACUGGGUUGAACUGUGUCUCUUCCUUGACAGGAAAAAGAGAGCACAGAUGGGAGACGAGUUUGAAUAGUGCUCACCUCCUGCACAUGACUUUGGGGUUGUCCAAGCUGGAUUUGGGGUUGUUCAAGCUGGAUUUAACUUCCUAAAGGAACUAGAGUGCACCUUGGUGUAAAACUCCCUGUAAGACUCUUUGCCUUGUCUGCAGCAUACAUGUGCCUCACGCAUGGAAGUACCUCCCCUCUUCUCACUGGUCACCUUAUUCCCUAUCAAAGUUGGCUGCCUUUGAGGAUGUGUUUUGACAGAUGGUAAAUCCAGGCUCCUGAGAAAUCCAGGGUCCUGGUGUUUGUUUACUGGGAAAUUGUCAGAUAGGUGAAGGAGAAGCAAGUCAAAAUUGUGCUCUUAGGGUGAAGAAGAGUUAGGGAUUGUGGACUUAUGCCUUGUAAAACAGGAAAGACCAAAAAGUAUUUAUUUGCUGUUUGCUGGCUUGUGAUGAAAAUACUUGAAGAUCUAGUGAAAGGCGAUGACAAUAGUAAUAGACCAAGAGAAUGUGGUUUGAAGUUAUCUUUCUGCACCUAGGCACUCCAGCCUAGUUAUCACAGAUCUGUUUUACUUCAAUUUGUUUUUCAUUUUAUCUUAAUGAGGAAUGGAGAGGACAUGUAACAUGCUAAAUGUAAAGGAAUAUCAUCUUAUAUACUGCAACAUCUCCCCUUCCCCUGGAUUCAAUGAUAGGUGCCGUCUUCCUUCUUCAUCAGCUUUUCUCUACUUGAGAUUACUUCCCUUGCUUAAUUUUUAAGUGCCGCUGAAGAUGUGUGUAUGUUAGUAAUCAUUUUAAUGAGU